UACGUAGGGGGCUAGCGUUGUCCGGAAUCAUUGGGCGUAAAGAGCGCGUAGGCGGUCCGGUAAGUCCGCUGUGAAAGUCGGGGGCUCAACCCUCGAAUGCCGGUGGAUACUGUCGGGCUAGAGUGCGGAAGAGGCGAGUGGAAUUCCUGGUGUAGCGGUGAAAUGCGCAGAUAUCAGGAGGAACACCAAUUGCGAAGGCAGCUCGCUGGGACGUAACUGACGCUGAGACGCGAAAGCGUGGGGAGCAAACAGG
rnacentral:rRNA from 1 species